rnacentral:rRNA from 1 species
GAAUAUUGGACAAUGGGCGCAAGCCUGAUCCAGCCAUGCCGCGUGAGUGAUGAAGGCCUUAGGGUUGUAAAGCUCUUUCGCUAGGGAAGAUAAUGACGGUACCUAGAUAAGAAGCCCCGGCUAACUUCGUGCCAGCAGCCGCGGUAAUACGAAGGGGGCUAGCGUUGUUCGGAAUUACUGGGCGUAAAGCGCACGUAGGCGGACUUGUCAGUCAGGGGUGAAAUCCCGAGGCUUAACCUCGGAACUGCCUUUGAUACUGCAAGUCUUGAGGAUGAGAGAGGUGAGUGGAACUGCGAGUGUAGAGGUGAAAUUCGUAGAUAUUCGCAAGAACACCAGUGGCGAAGGCGGCUCACUGGCUCAUUUCUGACGCUGAGGUGCGAAAGCGUGGGGAGCAAACAG